ACUCCAGCAAGGUGUGGGUCCAGGAAUACAUCAGCAACUGGAAUUAAACCCCGGCAAGGUCUGGACCCAGCAAGAAAAGUGCUAGAGAUGUGAACAGAUUGGGCACAGGGACCCAAAACAGGCAAAAGUCUCUGCAACCUCAGAAACUGAUUCCAGAUCUGGGGGUCUAACUUCAUUUUAAAGGAAGAAGGUGCCAGAGGCUUACUGUUUGCUUAAACUCACAGAAGGCCCUA
rnacentral:lncRNA from 1 species